rnacentral:rRNA from 1 species
UACGGAGGGUGCAAGCGUUAAUCGGAAUUACUGGGCGUAAGCGCGCGUAGGCGGUUUUUUAAGUCGGAUGUGAAAGCCCCGGGCUCAACCUGGGAACUGCAUCCGAUACUGGAAGACUAGAAUGCGGGAGAGGGAGGUAGAAUUCCAUGUGUAGCAGUGAAAUGCGUAGAUAUAUGGAGGAAUACCAGUGGCGAAGGCGGCCUCCUGGCUCGACAUUGACGCUGAGGUGCGAAAGCGUGGGGAGCAAACGGG